rnacentral:rRNA from 1 species
CCUACGGGAGGCAGCAGUGGGGAAUAUUGGGCAAUGGGCGCAAGCCUGACCCAGCAACGCCGCGUGAAGGAAGAAGGCUCUCGGGGUGUAAACCUCUUUUAAGAGGGAAGAGCAGAAGACGGUACCUCUGGAAUAAGCCGCGGCUAACUACGUGCCAGCAGCCGCGGUAAUACGUGGGUGGCAAGCGUUGUCCGGAUUUACUGGGUGUAAAGGGCGUGUAGCCGGGCUGACAAGUCAGAUGUGAAAUUCAGGGGCUCAACCCCGGAAGUGCAUUUGAAACUGUUGGUCUUGAGUAUCGGAGAGGCAGGCGGAAUUCCUGGUGUAGCGGUGAAAUGCGUAGAUAUUAGGAGGAACACCAGUGGCGAAGGCGGCCUGCUGGACGGCAACUGACGGUGAGGCGCGAAAGCGUGGGGAGCAAACAGGAUUAGAUACCCUUGUAGUC